rnacentral:rRNA from 1 species
UACGUAGGGGGCAAGCGUUGUCCGGAUUUAUUGGGCGUAAAGAGCGUGUAGGCGGCUUUACAGGUCCGUUGUGAAAACUCGAGGCUCAACCUCGAGACGCCGGUGGAAACCGUAAAGCUAGAGUCCGGAAGAGGAGAGUGGAAUUCCUGGUGCAGCGGUGAAAUGCGCAGAUAUCGGGAGGAACACCGGUGGCGAAGGCGGUUCUCUGGGCCUUACCUGACACUGAGGAGCGAAAGCGUGGGGAGCGAACAGG